CACGUAGGGUGCGAGCGUUGUCCGGAAUUAUUGGGCGUAAAGAGCUCGUAGGCGGUCAGUCGCGUCUGCUGUGAAAACUCGGGGCUUAACUCCGGGCCUGCAGUGGGUACGGGCUGACUAGAGUGCGGUAGGGGAGACUGGAAUUCCUGGUGUAGCGGUGAAAUGCGCAGAUAUCAGGAGGAACACCGGUGGCGAAGGCGGGUCUCUGGGCCGUAACUGACGCUGAGGAGCGAAAGCGUGGGGAGCGAACAGG
rnacentral:rRNA from 1 species